UACGUAGGGGGCAAGCGUUGUCCGGAUUUACUGGGCGUAAAGAGCGCGCAGGCGGUCGUAUAAGUCGCGUGUGAAAGCCCCCGGCUCAACUGGGGAGGGUCACGCGAUACUGUUCGACUCGAAGGCAGGAGAGGGAAGUGGAAUUCCCGGUGUAGUGGUGAAAUGCGUAGAUAUCGGGAGGAACACCAGUGGCGAAGGCGACUUCCUGGCCUGUUAUUGACGCUGAGGCGCGAAAGCUAGGGUAGCAAACGGG
rnacentral:rRNA from 1 species